rnacentral:rRNA from 1 species
ACGAACGCUGGCGGCGUGCCUAAUACAUGCCAGUUGAGCGCUGAAGGUUGGUACUUGUACCCACUGGAUGAGCAGCGAACGGGUGAGUAACGCGUGGGGAAUCUGCCUUUGAGCGGGGGACAACAUUUGGAAACGAAUGCUAAUACCGCAUAAAAACUUUAAACACAAGUUUUAAGUUUGAAAGAUGCAAUUGCAUCACUCAAAGAUGAUCCCGCGUUGUAUUAGCUAGUUGGUGAGGUAAAGGCUCACCAAGGCGAUGAUACAUAGCCGACCUGAGAGGGUGAUCGGCCACAUUGGGACUGAGACACGGCCCAAACUCCUACGGGAGGCAGCAGUAGGGAAUCUUCGGCAAUGGACGAAAGUCUGACCGAGCAACGCCGCGUGAGUGAAGAAGGUUUUCGGAUCGUAAAACUCUGUUGGUAGAGAAGAACGUUGGUGAGAGUGGAAAGCUCAUCAAGUGACGGUAACUACCCAGAAAGGGACGGCUAACUACGUG